AUACGUAGGGGGCGAGCGUUAUCCGGAAUUAUUGGGCGUAAAGAGUACGUAGGUGGUUUCCUAAGCGAGGGGUUUAAGGCAAUAGCUUAACUAUUGUUCGCCCCCCGAACUGGGUAACUUGAGCGCUGGAGAGGAAAGCGGAAUUCCUAGUGUAGCGGUGAAAUGCGUAGAUAUUAGGAGGAACACCAGUGGCGAAGGCGGCUUUCUGGACAGUAACUGACACUGAGGUACGAAAGUGUGGGGAGCAAACAGGAUUAGAUACCCUGGUAGUCCACACCGUAAACGAUGAGCACUAGGUGUCGGGUCCGCAAGAACUCGGUGCCGCAGUUAACGCAUUAAGUGCUCCGCCUGGGGAGUACGUACGCAAGUAUGAAACUCAAAUGAAUUGACGGGG
rnacentral:rRNA from 1 species